rnacentral:rRNA from 1 species
UACAGAGGUCUCAAGCGUUGUUCGGAUUCAUUGGGCGUAAAGGGUGCGCAGGCGGCCAAGUGUGUGAGGCGUGAAAGCCCGGGGCUUAACCCCGGAAUUGCACCUCAAACUACAUGGCUAGAGCAUUGGAGAGGGUAGCAGAAUUCAUGGUGUAGCAGUGAAAUGCGUAGAUAUCUGGAGGAACACCGGUGGCGAAGGCGGCAUCCUGGACCGACACUGACACUGAGGAGCGAAAGCCAGGGGAGCAAACGGG